UGGAGGCCCAUGGAGGUCUGGGUUCUAGGACUGGCUCUGCCGGGACACAUGUGACUCUGCCACGGGCCCCACCAGUCUCCCCCCUCCUUGGGCUGUUGCACGGGGUUGACGUCUGCUGGUGCUCCCAGACCCGGCUCUGACCUGAGACUGCAGGUCUUUCUGCCUUGCCGUGUGCCUCAUUGGCCAAAGGAAAGCAACAGAGUCUGCAGCCAGGGCAGGACCCGCAGGAGGGGCCUGGACCCGGGGGGCUCCUGGCAGCGCCGUGCCUUUCUGAGGCAAGGAGGUAGAGCCAGCGGCUGAGGACCUGUCAGGGCCAGUCCCAGCUCUGCAGCUUGCUGUGUGACCUGGCACACAUCCUCUCCCUGCCUCCCUCAGUCUCUUC
rnacentral:lncRNA from 10 species